rnacentral:rRNA from 1 species
AACGAACGCUGGCGGCAUGCCUAACACAUGCAAGUCGAACGAGACCUUCGGGUCUUGUUGCGCACGGGUGCUUACCGCGUGGGAACCUGCCCUUAGGUUCGGAAUAACUCCCCGAAGGGGGUGCUAAUACCGGUUAAUGUCUUCGCAGAUAAGAUGUAUGGCUUUUGGAUGGGGCCGCGUUGGAUUAGCCGGUUGGUAGUGUACAAGCCGAUCAUGGUGACGAUCCUUAGCUGGUGUGAGAGGAGGAUCAGCCACACUUGGACUGAGACACGGCCCAGACUGCGACGGAAGGCAGCAGUGUAGAAUACUGUGCGAUGGGCGCAAGCGUGGUCCAGCCAUGCCGCGUGAGUGAUGAAGGCCUUAGGAUUGUAAAGCUCUUUGAGCCGGGACGAUAAUGACAGUACCGGGAGAAUAAGCACCGGCUAACUACGUG